rnacentral:rRNA from 1 species
UCCUACGGGGGGCAGCAGUGAGGAAUAUUGGUCAAUGGACGAGAGUCUGAACCCGCCAAGUCGCGUGAAGGAUGACUGCCCUAUGGGUUGUAAACUUCUUUUAUAUGGGAAUAAAAUGUUCCACGUGUGUGAUUUUGUAUGUACCAUAUGACUAAGGAUCGGCUAACUCCGUGCCAGCAGCCGCGGUAAUACGGAGGAUCCGAGCGUUCUCCGGAUUUAUUGGGUUUACAGUGAGCGUAGGUGGAUUGUUACGUCAGUUGUGGAAGUUUGCGGCUCAACCGUAAAAUUGCAGUUGAAACUGGCAG